AAGCCAAACCCUCAGCGGGUGCCGCACAUCCACUCACAAGAUGGGGAUCCUCCAAGCCACGAGCAAUCCACUAGAGUAGCCAAUUGCGAUCUCCCGUGGGGAAGGCUCAAGAACCCCUCACAAAUCACUUGGUGAGGCUCGAAACAAUCUCCAAUCACGAGCUCAACACCACCGCUGCUCCAAGCCGUCUAGGGCGUCGGGAAACACCCAAGAGUAACAAGAAAUCCGCAGCAAACUCAAGAAUCAAGUGCCACUAAAUGCAACUCUCAAAGCAAUGCACUUGAAUCUCACUCAAUCUCACUAGAAUUAGCAAUCAAGCAAGGAGAUGAGUGGAGGGAGUGUUCUCUAGCUCAAAGUACGCCUCAAGUACUCAAAAGUGCAAGAGAGAACCCCCCAAAGCUGGCCACCAACUAUUUAUAAGCACCCAUAAAAAACUAGUCGUUGGCUGAAAACACUGGGCUGCAGUCGACCACACCGGACGCGUCCUAGUUCACACCGGACGCGUCCGGUAUUGACCAGACCAGCGUCCGGUGCUUUUGACCGGAAAUAUAAAAAUAAAUAUAAUAUCAUUGAUAUUUGGUCCGUUUUCAUUCCUACUUGUGGCACUCACAGUGAAAGGGUAAAUUCUUUUUUGGUGGAAUACAGUGUAAAGGCAAUUACCAAGUUAUAAAACGCCAUAAGCUAAACGAACGGGCUAUGAUUAAAAAAAAAAAAACCGUACAAGCUAAUCGCCCAAUUCAAAAGGCACAAGCCACCCCCGCUUGGUUUUACUUCACGACACGCUCUGCCGCUGGUCCCUCCUACUAAAUGGUGUUAGUUUUAAAAAAAUGGUGUUCAUUCAGUGUAAUUAAGGAGGUGACAGGCCUAGCUGACAGAGACGAGGACGAGACGUACCGUUGCGCUGUGAUAAUAAUAACGUGAGUACGUAGUACAUUGUUUCGAAAAAAGAGUAAGCGGCCUUGUUCACUCAAAAAUCAAAAACUUUUUCAAGAUUCUUUAUCAUAUCGAAUUUUAUGACAUAUGCAUCAAGCAUUAAAUAUAGAUAAAAAUAAAAAUUAAUUGUAAAAUUUAUCUGUAAAUCACGAUAUGAAUUUUUUAAAUCUAGUUAUUUUAUAAUUAAACAAUAUUUAUCAAAUAAAAAUGAAAGUACUACG
rnacentral:lncRNA from 1 species